UACGGAGGGGGCUAGCGUUGUUCGGAAUUACUGGGCGUAAAGCGCGCGUAGGCGGACCUGCAAGUCGGGGGUGAAAGCCCGAGGCUCAACCUCGGAACUGCCUUCGAUACUGCGGGUCUCGAGUCCGGGAGAGGUGAGUGGAAUUCCUAGUGUAGAGGUGAAAUUCGUAGAUAUUAGGAAGAACACCAAUGGCGAAGGCAGCUCGCUGGGACGGUACUGACGCUGAGGUGCGAAAGCGUGGGGAGCGAACAGG
rnacentral:rRNA from 1 species